rnacentral:lncRNA from 1 species
GUUCAAACAUGGCGUUCGUGACUUAGCUAACACAUUGUAAAUGUGAGAUGGCUUUUAACAUCGAAAGCAUUGUCACUAUUCUUUUUACGAUUGCCAUUAUCUUAACUAACACACUAAUAUUGUUUGUAUUGGCGUGGACAGAAAGCCUUCGGAACAUAAACAAAAUAUACUUCGGAUCCUUGACCAUUGCGGAUUUGUGCGUAGGACUUUUCAUCACGCCAUUUGCCGUAUACAGUACAUUCAGCAAUUCAUGGAUAUACGAAGACGAAAUGUUCUGUCAUAUAGAAGCGUAUCUAAUGGCGAUAUUUUUCAUCGCUGGUGUUUAUUCGUUGUCAUGGAUAAGUGUUGAUCAUUAUUUAGCCAUUCGGAAGCCUCAGAGACACCAAACGGCUAUGUCGACAACUCGAUCACUUUGCUGGAUAAUAUUUGCUUGGCUAGCUGCAUUUUGUUUUUGUAGUCCGCCAUUAUUUUCUAAAAUUCAGCGUGCGUCAUAUUAUGAUGAAAUUUUCAUGUGCUCAAUAGACCCUGGGCCUCAAAAACCAUACUUUGCAACUGCCGGAAUUAUAGUUCUUUGUCCAGCAUUGCUAGCACUUAUAUUUACAAAUUCAUAUAUUUUCACUGAACGUUUCAGAUCAAAGAAGCAUAUGUUUGAAAACAUAUUGAUUGAUACUGCUACACGAC